rnacentral:tRNA from 1 species
AAGGGAGACCUAAUUCGGGUAUAAGACGAAAAAAGAGUAGUCGAAACCAAGAAUCAAUCCCAAAAGGUCGGAACGAGGUAUGUGGCUUUCAAACUAGGUUCUGGGUUCACACAAGACCUGAAUCAGGAACAAGGGCUAUUAGCUCAGGUGGUUAGAGCGCACCCCUGAUAAGGGUGAGGUCCCUGGUUCGAGUCCAGGAUGGCCCACCUGCACAGGUGGCAAAAACAAGAGAAGCUCCGAAUCAGCACCUUAUCUUAUAUACAUAUAUAAGAGAGAAUGCUGGCUCUGAGUAAAGAGUCCAGAGGAACCUUGAAAACUGCAUAGAGCUAGGUGAAAAAGCCAAAAAAGAAGACCGCAA